AGGUAUAAAUAGGAGUUUCCGGGUGAGAGGUGAGUCGGGAAGAAGUAGAGAGGAGGCAUUGCUGGAACUUGGCAGCAGAGGAGUUAUCCGUCUACAAGGAGACCUGUAUAGAUCAAAUGAAGGCAAGAAUGAGGAUGGCGGAAGACCGGAGUCACAUGACUGAGAAGAUACUAAACCUCACCCUGGAGAUCAUCUACCUGCUGACUGGAGAGAGAUUUCCUCUU